GGGGAAGCCUUUCAGGACAAAAGUGAGGUAGCCAGGAGUGCUUAUGCAAGGCUGAGGAAAGAGGCUUCAUUUGGAGACACUGUGAUUUAGCUUCUCACUUGCUGUUCUGCUCUACAUCCCUAUUUCUGUCUCAUAAUUCCCCUACUUCAACUUCACUUCCAUGCCUUAGUCACGUCACUACCAGUAUCUACACCCCCUCCAUUAUCCCAGUUUCAGUGUUCAACCUACUCCUUCCAGUACUGUGACUCAGAACAGUCCUUUGAGCUCACCAGUACUUUAGUUGGAUGGUCUCCCCACUUGUUAUUUGCAUUCAACCCUCAGGUCCUUGGUUCAUUCAUUUAUUAGUUUUGAGUCUGGGUCAUAUCCAUUUCCCCUCUUCCUUAUUCAUACUUUGCAAAACGUAGUCCUAGUGAAGUCCUGCACUCUCUGGCUGGGUAUGGUACAGAUCAACACAGCCACCCUGACAGAGGUCACUGAAGCCAUGACCACGUGUGGGCCCUUGGUGCCCAGUAUCAGUUGUCCAUCUCCCAAUUCUAGCCUAGAGUCUAUAGCUGUUUCAUACUUCCUUGCUCUCCUCAGCCCUCCCACACCUGAGCCCCCAUUUCCUAAUGUGGCCUUUUUGCUGAUUCCACUCAGGAUAAUGAGGCACUUAGAAGUCUUUCCCCUCUGCUUGUGCCCCAUGGCUUCCUUUUGGUAUCACGGACAUCCCUGAUUAUGCUCCUGGCUGAGGCCAUCCCUGCAACAGGCAUGAGAUUCCAUGUUCAUUACCUUACUUCAUCUACUUUUUCUGUUGGUUAUUCCAUAGUAAGAGGGGAAAGAAAUCUCUUGGCCCUUUUCCUUCUCUUUGUUGGUUUGUUAUCUCACUAACAUUGAUGGGGCUGUUGGGAAGUCCCUGGACAACAAUGAGAAGCUGACUCUCCAAUGUGUAGCUUGUGUAGCUGACUUGCCCACUCCCUGAGCACUUGUUAUGCCCAAGCUUCUUACCUUGAUCACAACAUCAUCCUCAUUCAGGCCAAACCUUCGAUUCUCCUUAAGUUCUCUCUGUUGCAUACCUCUCAUCUGGUCUUAUUGGCUUUUCCUUCCUGAUAGAGAAUCUGAACAAGCCAUCUGUCACCUGGUCCAUCUGGAGAUGCCUACAGUCUCAUUGUCUGAGAGCAGCCAGAGUGAUGCCUUCAAGCUUUGGUUAGAUCAUGUCAUCCACUGCUUCAAACUUUCCAAAAGCUGCCAUCACUCAAUUCUCACACUGGCCUGUGAAGCCUUCUGGCAUCUGAUUCUGUUGCCUUUCCAUCCUCUUGUCCUGUUGCUGUCCCCUUUACUCAGAGCAGUGAGCCAAGUCCCUCUUUUGUGGCCUCCUUGCUAUUCAUCUGCUUCCCCAGGCAAACACUCCUCCUCCAUCUCCCUUCACCUUCCCACAGCACUGCCUUAGGAGACCUUUCCUGACUACCCAGUUUCCCUUCACUGCUCUAUUUAUUUAUAACAUUUGUAUAUAAUUCACUUAUUAGUUUGUUGCCACUGUUCUCAUUAGAUUAUGUAAAGAACAGGUAUCUUUGUGUCAUUUUGUAUCUCUAAGGCCCAGAAUAGCGCACUUAGAUACUCAACCUCAAUGGAUAUUUGAAUAUUAAAAAAGGAGUUACUGGUUUUCUUGGCAGGAGUAGUUCUUUG
rnacentral:lncRNA from 1 species